GCUGGGUGUGGUGGCAUACACCUGUAGUCCCAGCUACUUAGGAGGCUGAGGCAGGAGGAUUGCUUGAGCCCAGGAGGUCAAGGCUGCAGUGAGCUGAGAUCACACCACUGCAUUCUAGCCUGGGAAGCAGAGCAAGACUCAGCCUCAA
ensembl:misc_RNA Metazoa_SRP Metazoan signal recognition particle RNA